rnacentral:rRNA from 1 species
GUCGAAUGGGUUUAGACCCAUGGCAAACGGGUGAGUAACACAUUGGUAACCUACCUCGAAGUGUGCCAUAACCCUGCGAAAGCAGGAAUAAUUCCACAUGUGUUCUGAUAACUUAUGUUAUCAGAGUAAAGAUUUAUCGCUUCGAGAGGGGCCUAUGGCUUAUCAGCUUGUUGGUAGGGUAAAAGCCUACCAAUGCUACGACGAGUAGCGGGCGUGAGAGCGUGACCCGCCUCACUGGGACUGAGACACUGCCCAGACUCCUACGGGAGGCUGCAGUCAAGAAUCUUCCCCAAUGGUCGAAAGACUGAGGGAGCGACGCCGCGUGAUUGAUGACGCCCUUCGGGGUGUAAAGAUCUUUUAUUAGGGACGAACCAAUGACGGUACCUAAUGAAUAAGGGGCUGCUAAACUCGUGCCAGCAGCAGCGGUAAUACGAGUGCCCCUAGCGUUAUCCGGAUUUAUUGGGCGUAAAGCGUCUGUAGGCGUUUUAGAAAGUUUUUCGUCAAAUCCCAGUGCUCAACAUUGGGACUGCGGAAAAAACUUCUAAAAUAGAGGAUGGGAGAGGCAGAUGGAAUUGCCGGUGUAGCGGUAAAAUGCGUUAAUAUCGGCAAGAACACCAAAUGCGAAGGCUUUCUGCUGGAACACUCCUGACGCUGAGAGACGAAAGCGUGG